UAACGAAUCUUCCCCAAUGCACGAAAGUGUGAGGGAGCGACGCUGCGUGGAGGAUGAAGUCCUUCGGGAUGUAAACUCCUGUCAAGGGAUACCAAGUUCUGAGGAUCCCUAAAGGAAGAGGCGGCUAACUCUGUGCCAGCAGCCGCGGUAAUACAGAGGCCUCGAGCGUUAGGCGGAAUCACUGGGCUUAAAGCGUGUGUAGGCGGAUCGUUAAGUGUCUUGUGAAAUCCCACGGCUCAACCGUGGAACUGCUCGACAUACUGGCGGUCUUGAGCUACCUAAGGGCAACUGGAACAGACGGUGGAGCGGUGAAAUGCGUAGAUAUCGUCUGGAACGCCAAUGGUGAAGACAGGUUGCUGGGGGUAUGCUGACGCUGAGACACGAAAGCCAGGGGAGCAAACGGGAUUAGAUACCCCCGUAGUCC
rnacentral:rRNA from 1 species